GAAGGCUGAUGUGUGUGAGAUUACCCGCUGAAUUUAAGCAUAUAAGUAAGCGGAGGAAAAGAAACUAACUAGGAUUCCUUAGUAAUGGCGAAUGAACAGGGAUCAGCUCAGUGCCAAAUCGGAAUCACUUGUGGUUCUGAAAUGUGGCUUGAAGGCAGUACCAGUGGCAUCGCGGACGAAAGUCUCUUGGAAAAGAGCGUCAUAGAGGGUGAGAAUCCCGUGAGUCGUUCGCCGUUUGUCACGUACGGUCUGCGUUCUAACGAGUCGCGUUCCUUGGGAUUGGAGCGUAAACGGGUGGUAAAUUUCAUCCAAAGCAAAAUAUAUACUCGAGACCGAUAGCACAAAAGUACCGUGAGGGAAAGGUGAAAAGAACUUUGAGAAGAGGGUUAAAUAGUGCCUGAAAUCGUUGAGAAGGAAGCGGAUGCCGCCGUUGCAUAUGCUGAUUGUAGGAUUGCUGCUCGCUCCUGUCUUCUGCUACUCAUUCACAGACCUGGUCGUGUUGAGCAGUUGUUUGGCAGAUGUUAGUGGUGUUUCCUACUUUCAGUCGUCAGCAUCACUGGCUGAGUGGAAAUAAUCCUUGGAUGCUAAUUGGUUCGCUAUCUGUGAAUUGGUUGCUUCCUUGCGAUACUCACUACUCGGUCAGUGAGGAAGUGCGUUUGCUGGUCAACGAGCUUUCUAACUGUCAUUACCCUGCGCUUUUCGAUUCGUCGAGUGGCCAGGAUGUGGCUUUGAGAUUGUUCGCACUUAGUAAUCGCGAUGCUGGCUUCCAACGGUUGCCUCCGGCCCGUCUUGAAACACGGACCAAGGAGUCUAACGUAUGUGCGAGUGUGUGAGUGGCAAACUUAUACGCGUAAUGAAAGUGAGGCCGUAUGGCCAUGUUGGGGUCACCAACAACCGACCUUGAUCUUCGGUGAAAGGUUUGAGUAUGAGCAUAUCCGUUAGGACCCGAAAGAUGGUGAACUAUGCCUGAGCAGGGUGAAGCCAGGGGAAACUCUGGUGGAGGCUCGUAGCGAUACUGACGUGCAAAU
rnacentral:ncRNA from 1 species